UACGGAGGGUGCAAGCGUUAUCCGGAUUUACUGGGUUUAAAGGGUGUGUAGGCGGGCUUUUAAGUCAGUGGUGAAAUCUCCGGGCUCAACCUGGAAACUGCCAUUGAUACUAUUAGUCUUGAAUAUUGUUGAGGUAGGCGGAAUAAGUCAUGUAGCGGUGAAAUGCAUAGAUAUGACUUAGAACACCAAUUGCGAAGGCAGCUUGCUAAACAAUGAUUGACGCUGAGGCACGAAAGCGUGGGGAUCAACAGG
rnacentral:rRNA from 1 species